GGCCUGAGAGGGUGACCGGCCACACUGGGACUGAGACACGGCCCAGACUCCUACGGGAGGCAGCAGUGGGGAAUAUUGCACAAUGGGCGAAAGCCUGAUGCAGCGACGCCGCGUGAGGGAUGACGGCCUUCGGGUUGUAAACCUCUUUCAGCAGGGAAGAAGCGAAAGUGACGGUACCUGCAGAAGAAGCGCCGGCGAACUACGUGCCAGCAGCCGCGGUAAUACGUAGGGCGCAAGCGUUAUCCGGAAUUAUUGGGCGUAAAGAGCACGUAGGCGGUUUGUCGCGUCUGCUGUGAAAGCCCGGGGCUCAACCCCGGGUCUGCAGUGGGUACGGGCAGACUAGAGUGCAGUAGG
rnacentral:rRNA from 1 species